CCUACGGGUGGCAGCAGUGAGGAAUAUUGGUCAAUGGACGCUAGUCUGAACCAGCCAAGUAGCGUGAAGGAUGACUGCCCUAUGGGUUGUAAACUUCUUUUAUAAAGGAAUAAAACGAGGCACGUAUGCCUCUUUGCAUGUACUUUAUGAAUAAGGAUCGGCUAACUCCGUGCCAGCAGCCGCGGUAAUACGGAGGAUCCGAGCGUUAUCCGGAUUUAUUGGGUUUAAAGGGAGCGUAGAUGGGUUGUUAAGUCAGUUGUGAAAGUUUGCGGCUCAACCGUAAAAUUGCAAUUGAUACUGGCAGUCGUGAGUACAGUAGAGGUAGGCGGAAUUCGUGGUGUAGCGGUGAAAUGCUUAGAUAUCACGAAGAACCCCGAUUGCGAAGGCAGCUUACUAAACUGUGACUGACACUGAUGCUCGAAAGUGUGGGUAUCAAACAGGAUUAGAUACCCUAGUAGUC
rnacentral:rRNA from 1 species